GUGUGGGUAAGAGCACUCACUGCUCUCACAGAGAAUUCAGGCUUGGUUUCCAGCACCUGAGGUAGCUGACUCACACUGUUUCUGUCUCCUGUUCCAGGAAUGUGCCAAUGUGUUCUUCUGGCCUUCAGGGGCAUCUGAAUGCAGGAGUUAUGUCUACAUACACAGUCGCGCAUGAAUGGCCCUCGUGAGAACGUGGAGAAUAUGUGGAGUGUGAUAGAGGCCCAUUCUCCUAGCCUAGAUUGCCAAGUGUAUCCAGUGAAGCCUCUGAUUUAAAAUGGUGGAAUGAAUACGCUCAGGGGACGCAUUCGGCAUUGUGAGUGCUGUAAUUCAAGCAAUCAAAAUAUAGGAGACAUUUUCUGACUUCCUGCCAAGGGAUUUGCUCUAAAUUGUGCCUUUUAAAUAAAAUAUCACGCACUGAAUCAUGUACACUGCCAAUCUGAAAAAUGAAGGCAGACCAGAGGGUUUUCUACUGGACAACGUUUACGUAAUGCCCACUUGACCUGAUUUACUUCUGGCAUGAAAAUGACUGGGGGAUGCACACUUUUCAUUCAAUUCCUUCACAUGGCGAGAUGUUCAAAAAUUCCCCAGUUGUUCAUAGGGUGAGAGUCUCCCCCGGCAUGUUCUUCUUUCUCCUUGGAUAUUUCCCUUUCAGAACAGUAAGCAUACCUCCAUUACCACAACCACUAAAUUGGUUUUUCAACUAGUUUGCCAUUCUUUAAUGGCUAUACACUUGGGAG
ensembl:lncRNA